UACGUAGGGGGCUAGCGUUGUCCGGAAUCAUUGGGCGUAAAGCGCGCGUAGGCGGCCCGGUAAGUCCGCUGUAAAAGUCCAGGGCUCAACCCUGGAAAGCCGGUGGAUACUGUCGGGCUCGAGUCCGGAAGAGGCGAGUGGAAUUCCUGGUGUAGCGGUGAAAUGCGCAGAUAUCAGGAAGAACACCCGUGGCGAAGGCGGCUCUCUGGGACGGUACUGACGCUGAGACGCGAAAGCGUGGGGAGCGAACAGG
rnacentral:rRNA from 1 species